GGCGAACGGGUGAGUAAUGUGCGGAAGAUCUGCCCUAGAGACGGGGAUAACCGGUCGAAAGGCCGGCUAAUACCAGAUGACGCUCCCGGUUUAAGUCCGGGAAGUUAAAAGAUGGCGACUGCGCAAGCAGGCUAUCGCUCAAGGAGGAGUCCGCAUCCUAUCAGCUAGUUGGCGGGGUAACGGCCCACCAAGGCUAUGACGGGUAGCUGGUCUGAGAGGACGACCAGCCACACUGGGACUGAGACACGGCCCAGACUCCUACGGGAGGCAGCAGUUGGGAAUUUUGGACAAUGGGGGAAACCCUGAUCCAGCGACACCGCGUGGGCGAUGAAGGCCUUCGGGUUGUAAAGCCCUGUCGGAAGUGAAGAAGGCUGUAUCCGUUAACAGCGGAAACAGCCAGACGUUAGCUUCGGAGGAAGCCACGGCUAACUCUGUGCCAGCAGCCGCGGUAAGACAGAGGUGGCGAGCGUUGUCCGGAUUUACUGGGCGUAAAGGGUGUGUAGGCGGUCGUGUAAGUCAGUUGUGAAAUCCGUC
rnacentral:rRNA from 1 species